rnacentral:rRNA from 1 species
UGGGGAAUAUUGCACAAUGGGCGAAAGCCUGAUGCAGCAACGCCGCGUGAGUGAUGAAGGUCUUCGGAUUGUAAAGCUCUGUCUUUUGGGACGAUAAUGACGGUACCAAAGGAGGAAGCCACGGCUAACUACGUGCCAGCAGCCGCGGUAAUACGUAGGUGGCGAGCGUUGUCCGGAUUUACUGGGCGUAAAGGGUGCGUAGGCGGAUGUUUAAGUGAGAUGUGAAAUACCCGGGCUUAACUUGGGUGCUGCAUUUCAAACUGGAUAUCUAGAGUGCAGGAGAGGAGAAUGGAAUUCCUAGUGUAGCGGUGAAAUGCGUAGAGAUUAGGAAGAGCACCAGUGGCGAAGGCGAUUCUCUGGACUGUAACUGACGCUGAGGCACGAAAGCGUGGGUAGCAAACAGGAUUAGAUACCCUGGUAGUCCACGCCGUAAACGAUGAGUACUAGGUGUAGGAGGUAUCGACCCCUUCUGUGCCGCAGUAAACACAUUAAGUACUCCGCCUGGGAAGUACGAUCGCAAGAUUA